GCCUGGGUGGCUCAGUCGGUUAAGCGUCCGACUUCGGCUCAGGUCACGAUCUCACGUUUGUGGGUUCGAGCCCCGCGUCGGGCU
rnacentral:tRNA from 1 species